GCAACACAGUUCUUUUUCUCAACAAAGACAAAUCUUUUGAAGGAGAGUUAAAGGAAGAGAACAGGCCCAUCUAGUGAUAGUAAAAAGAAAGGCAUGACAUCUGGGUUGCUGGUUGGCAUGGACAGAGAGGUUGUCCAGAGGCACCUGGGUGUACUAGGAUAUCUUGGAGGACAGGAGAUGUACCACAAAACUGGAGGAUGGUGAAUGUUUUUCCAAUAUUCAAAAAAGGGUGGAAGGAUGACCCAGGAAACUACAGGAUAGUUGGUCUGACUCUAUCCCAGAGAAGAUAUUGGAAACAUUUUAAGGAAGUCAAUGUGAAAGCAUCUGAAGGACAACUUGGCAACCCAGAGAAGUCAGCAUAGAUUUGUCUCCAACAGGUCCUGCUAUACCAACCUAGUUCUUUGAUCAAGUGACAAGCUUACUGAAUUGUGGCAAUGAUGUUGACAUUGUUUAUCUGGAUUUUAGUAAAACAUUUCACAGAACCUCCCACAAUGUUCUGAUGGGAAAGUGAUGCAGAGCAGAUUGGGCUCCAGGUUAGUUGGGUGAAUGGACAACUUGUUGAAGAUCUGCACCCAAAGUAGUUGUCAAUAGCAUUUCAUCUGAUUAGAAAAAAGUGUCCAGUAGGAUGCCAUAGGGCUUGCUUCUGGACCCAUUGCUUUUAAAAUAUUUUUAUAAACAAUCUGGAUGAGGAGGUGGAAGGUCUACUCAUUACAAAUGCAAAUGACAUCCAGCAGCAAAGACAAUAGAAGAUAAAAAUAGAAUUCAAUUAGAUUUGAACAGGUUGAGAAAGUGAGUGGAUGUGAACAAGAUGAAAUUCAACAAGGAUAAAUGCAGAGUUCUACAUCUGGGUAACAAAAAUGAGAAGCACCUAUACAGGAUGGGAGAUACAUUUCUGAGUAAUGGUAUGCGUGACAAGAUGUAGAGGUACAAGGAGACUGUGAGCUCAAUAUGAGCAGUCAUUGUGAUGCAACAACAAAAAAGGCUAAUUCAGUCUUGGGAUGUAUCAAAAGAGGCAUACCAUUCUAAACACAAGAUGUCAUAGUCCUGCUGUACAGUGCAUUGAUCAGGCCACACCUGGAGUACUGUGUGCAGUUCUGGAGACCUCACUUCAAAAAAUGUGGGCAGAAUGGAAUGAAUGCAAAGGAACAGGAUGAUCAGGAGCCUUAAUUAUGCUUAAAGACUUACUGGUCGAUUAUGCACAAGGCAUCAGCUGCACAAUGGGGGCAAAUGUUUGUCACUGCAAGAUUUCUUAUACGUAUGUAUCUCUUCAAGCUCUGCUUUCACUUUCUAUUCUUCCCAU